AUAUUUGAAUACUGAAUAAUUUUACCAGACAUUGCACUUGUUUUGUGUCCCCUUCUUUUAUUUGUUUUAGUAUGAGCAUGCAUUGAUGUAAAGCUAGAAGUGUUGAUAGCAGUGGUAGGAAGUGGCAGUCGUGUGAAUCAGAGAUAGGGGGUGGCAGUCACUUGGAUUCAGUAGGAAGGAUUUUCUUUAGCUUAUAGCUUGUAUUUUACGAAUAUGGAGUUCGUAUGUCACAGUACAGUUUUUCAAUUAAACUUAAACGAAAAGCUGUUGUUUAUGCAAAGAGUGCUGAGCAAUAAAGAAACAUGCCAAACAAUGAUUGUUGCAGAGAUAAGAUGGGUGGAUAUUGCAGGAAAAGCUAUGAACUUAACCAUGAAGAAAUGGAUUGAACUGAGGACAGAUGAAGGAAAAAUGGCUUGUUAUGAGUGAAGGGGAUCAAAGACAAGUGGAACCUAAGGAUUCAAAUUAUGGAAGAUGGUAAUAUUGUGGACUUGAACCAGGAUCUUACUUCUGAUGGAUAGGAAUGGUGCAAAAUGAGUGAUCAUAUAUUGGCACCCAUGAGGUUUGGUUGAGCUCUAUGCUUGGUUGAAUGGGCUUUCAGUUAUCUACAUUCUUUUCUGAAAACAAUCUCUGAUGAGAGAAAUCUGCAAGUUUUGAAUGUCCUUGGCAUUUCUUCACUGGGCUUUUGGCUUUUGGCUAUAUUUCUUUUCACUACAUGGCCCAAAAACUUCCUGGCUUGCUCAUUUUUUUCCUUUUGUUGCUCCUUUGUCUUCUUUUGCAUGCCCUUGUGCUGCAGCCACUUCACUUUUUUUGCCUUAUUUUUUGUUUACAUUAUCUCUGGAAGUUAGUUGAUGUAAUAAAAUAGGGUUGCUUGUUUGCAGUUUGGUCGGAUUGGAUUGGUGCGCUUGUUUCUAGUAUGAUUUGAUGGCAUUUUUUUUCCCUGUAAUUGGGUGCUUUCAUAGAAUCCUGAUUAAAGUUUCAAGAUAUUUGACAGUGAUUAAAAUGAACAUUCAAUGGUAGUGUUAAGCCUUCUAAAGGCUUUAAAAACC
rnacentral:misc_RNA from 1 species